GCCUGGAUAGCUCAGUUGGUUAGAGCAUGGCCUGGAUAAUGCCAAGGUUGCAUGUUCAAUCCCUGUAUGGGACA